GAUGAACGCUGACAGAAUGCUUAACACAUGCAAGUCUACUUGAUUCUACUUCGGUAGUUGAUGGUGGCGGACGGGUGAGUAACGCGUAAAGAAUCUGCCCUUUAGUUCGGGAUAACCGCUGGAAACGAAGGAUAAUACCGGAUAUUAUGGAGACGUCGCAUGACGAUUUCAUGAAAGCGAUAUGCGCUAGAGGAGGACUUUGCGUCCCCUUAGUUAGUUGGUGAGGUAAUGGCUAACCAAGACCGCGAUGGGGAGCCGGCCUGAGAGGGUGAUCGGCCACUAGGGAACUGAGACACGGUCCUUACUCCUACGGGAGGCAGCAGUGGGGAAUAUUGGACAAUGGGCCACAAGCCUGAUCCAGCAAUUCUGUGUGCACGAUGAAGGUCUUCGGAUUGUAAAGUGCUUUCAGUAGGGAAGAAAAAAAUGACGGUACCUACAGAAGAAGCGACGGCUAAAUAUGUGCCAGCCGCCGCAGUAACAC
rnacentral:rRNA from 1 species